rnacentral:rRNA from 1 species
GAUGAACGCUGGCGGCGUGCCUAAUACAUGCAAGUCGAACGCUUCACUUCGGUGAAGAGUGGCGAACGGGUGAGUAAUACAUAAGUAACCUGGCAUCUACAGGGGGAUAACUGAUGGAAACGUCAGCUAAGACCGCAUAGGUGUAGAGAUCGCAUGAACUCUAUAUGAAAAGUGCUACGGGACUGGUAGAUGAUGGACUUAUGGCGCAUUAGCUUGUUGGUAGGGUAACGGCCUACCAAGGCGACGAUGCGUAGCCGACCUGAGAGGGUGACCGGCCACACUGGGACUGAGACACCGCCCAGACUCCUACGGGAGGCAGCAGUAGGGAAUUUUCGGCAAUGGGGGAAACCCUGACCGAGCAACGCCGCGUGAAGGAAGAAGUAAUUCGUUAUGUAAACUUCUGUCAUAGAGGAAGAACGGUGGAUAUAGGGAAUGAUAUCCAAGUGACGGUACUCUAUAAGAAAGCCACGGCUAACUACGUG